rnacentral:piRNA from 1 species
UACCAUUGUGAAUGCGUUCAGUGAAGCAA